rnacentral:rRNA from 1 species
UACGUAGGGUGCAAGCGUUGUCCGGAAUUAUUGGGCGUAAAGAGCUCGUAGGCGGUCUGUCGCGUCGGAUGUGAAAAUCCAGGGCUCAACCCUGGACCUGCAUUCGAUACGGGCAGACUAGAGUUCGGUAGGGGAGACUGGAAUUCCUGGUGUAGCGGUGGAAUGCGCAGAUAUCAGGAGGAACACCAAUAGCGAAGGCAGCUCGCUGGGACGGUACUGACACUGAGGCGCGAAAGCGUGGGGAGCGAACAGG